UACGGGGGGAGCAAGCGUUGUUCGGAUUUACUGGCGUAAAGGGCGCGUAGGCGGUCAGCACAAGUCAGUUGUGAAAUCUCCGGGCUUAACUCGGAAAGGUCAACUGAUACUGUGCGACUAGAGUGCGGAAGGGGCAACUGGAAUUCUCGGUGUAGCGGUGAAAUGCGUAGAUAUCGAGAGGAACACCUGAGGUGAAGGCGGGUCUCUGGGCCGUAACUGACGCUGAGGAGCGAAAGCAUGGGGAGCGAACAGG
rnacentral:rRNA from 1 species